rnacentral:rRNA from 4 species
UGGCGGCAGUAGCGCGGUGGUCCCACCUGACCCCAUGCCGAACUCAGAAGUGAAACGCCGUAGCGCCGAUGGUAGUGUGGGGUCUCCCCAUGUGAGAGUAGGGAACUGCCAG